rnacentral:rRNA from 1 species
GACGAACGCUGGCGGCGUGCUUAACACAUGCAAGUCGAACGGUAAGGCUCCAGCUUGCUGGGGUACACGAGUGGCGCACGGGUGAGUAACACGUGGGUGACCUGCCUUGCACUUCGGGAUAAGCCUGGGAAACUGGGUCUAAUACCGGAUAGGACCAUGGUGUGGAUACUGUGGUGGAAAGUUUUUUCGGUGUGGGAUGGGCCCGCGGCCUAUCAGCUUGUUGGUGGGGUAAUGGCCUACCAAGGCGGCGACGGGUAGCCGGCCUGAGAGGGUGGACGGCAAAAUUGGGACUGGGGCACGGCCCAGACUCCUACGGGAGGCAGCAGUGGGGAAUAUUGCACAAUGGGCGGAAGCCUGAUGCAGCGACGCCGCGUGGGGAAUGACGGCCUUCGGGUUGUAAACUCCUUUCACCAUCGACGAAGGGUUUCUGACGGUAGAUGGAGAAGAAGCACCGGCUAACUACGUG